rnacentral:lncRNA from 1 species
UUUACUUAUAAACACCAACUUGUAAAAAUUCGGAAACAAUUUGUAGAAAGACUAGAGUUGUUAAAUAAAGAAAUAAGAAACCUAGAAAUAGAUAUUCUAAACUUUAAAGAAACAGACGAAAUAAUUACCAUAACCUCUAAAUAUUAUAAAAAAGCAUUAAUUAGUGAACAAUCUAGGCUGAUAGAAAAUAUACAAGAAGUAGAAUUAGAUAUAACCUAUACUAAUAGUAGAUUGAAAUAUCAAACUAAGCUAAGCAAAAAAUACCUUAAUUUAAAUCACUUAGGAUAACAAAAUAGCUUCUUUAAA